UUUGUUCGUUAGGCUCGCACUA
rnacentral:miRNA from 1 species